UACGAAGGGGGCUAGCGUUGUUCGGAAUCACUGGGCGUAAAGCGCACGUAGGCGGACUCUUAAGUCGGUGGUGAAAUCCUGGAGCUCAACUCCAGAACUGCCUUCGAUACUGAGAGUCUCGAGUCCGGGAGAGGUGAGUGGAACUGCGAGUGUAGAGGUGAAAUUCGUAGAUAUUCGCAAGAACACCAGUGGCGAAGGCGGCUCACUGGCCCGGUACUGACGCUGAGGUGCGAAAGCGUGGGGAGCAAACAGG
rnacentral:rRNA from 1 species